CGACCCUCGGGACCGCUCCUCGCAAGGGGAGGUCUGGUCCCGGCGUUGGGCCAGCGAGCAGCACCACAUAGCGGCAAGCUCGCAGCCCGUAGACCAUCGGCGGCAGCACUAGCGACGUCCCCUGCGCAGUAACUUUACACACGCAUUGGAUUCCUGGUGAGGCCCGCCUCGAAACUAUUUUUUCAU
rnacentral:misc_RNA from 1 species